rnacentral:rRNA from 1 species
GAUAAACGCUGACAGAAUGCUUAACACAUGCAAGUCGAUGAUGGGAGCUAGCUUGCUAGAAGAAGUCAUGGCGGACGGGUGAGUAACGUGUAAAGAACUUACCAUAUAGACUGGGAUAACAGAGGGAAACUUCUGAUAAUACUGGAUAAGUUAGUAGUAGCAUUACUAAGUAAUGAAAGGUAGCAAUACGCUAUAUGAGAGCUUUGCAUCCUAUUAGCUAGUUGGUGGGGUAAAAGCCUACCAAGGCGAUGAUAGGUAGCCGGCCUGAGAGGGUGGACGGCCACAAGGGGACUGAGAUACGGCCCUUACUCCUACGGGAGGCAGCAGUGGGGAAUAUUGGACAAUGGAGGCAACUCUGAUCCAGCAAUUCUGUGUGUGUGAAGAAGGUUUUAGGACUGUAAAACACUUUUAGUAGGGAAGAAAUAAAUGACGGUACCUACAGAAGAAGCGACGGCUAAAUACGUGCCAGCAGCCGCGGUAAUACGUAUGUCGCGAGCGUUAUCCGGAAUUAUUGGGCUUAAAGGGCAUCUAGGCGGUUAAACAAGUUGAAGGUGAAAACCUGUGGCUCAACCAUAGGCUUGCCUACAAAACUGUAUAACUAGAGUACUGGAAAGGUGGGUGGAACUACACGAGUAGAGGUGAAAUUCGUAGAUAUGUGUAGGAAUGCCGAUGAUGAAGAUAACUCACUGGACAGCAACUGACGCUGAAGUGCGAAAGCUAGGGGAGCAAACGGG